rnacentral:rRNA from 1 species
UACGUAGGGUGCGAGCGUUAAUCGGAAUUACUGGGCGUAAAGCGUGCGCAGGCGGUUUUUGUAAAGCCAGAUGUGAAAGCCCCCGGGCUUAACCCUGGGGAACUGCAUUUGUGACUGCAUAGCUAGAGUACGGCAGAGGGGGAUGGAAUUCCGCGUGUAGCAGUGAAAUGCGUAGAUAUGCGGAGGAACACCGAUGGCGAAGGCAGCCCUCCUGGGCCAGCACUGACGCUCAUGCACGAAAGCGUGGGGAGCAAACAGG